AGGCCGUGCGGCGUGCUUAACACAUGCAAGUCGAACGAUGAACUGGAGCUUGCUCCAGGGAUUAGUGGCGAACGGGUGAGUAACACGUGAGUAACCUGCCCUUGACUCUGGGAUAAGCGCUGGAAACGGCGUCUAAUACCGGAUACGAGCUUCAGCCGCAUGGCUAGGAGUUGGAAAGAAUUUCGGUCAAGGAUGGACUCGCGGCCUAUCAGCUAGUUGGUGAGGUAAUGGCUCACCAAGGCGACGACGGGUAGCCGGCCUGAGAGGGUGACCGGCCACACUGGGACUGAGACACGGCCCAGACUCCUACGGGAGGCAGCAGUGGGGAAUAUUGCACAAUGGGCGCAAGCCUGAUGCAGCAACGCCGCGUGAGGGAUGACGGCCUUCGGGUUGUAAACCUCUUUUAGUAGGGAAGAAGCGAAAGUGACGGUACCUGCAGAAAAAGCACCGGCUAACUACGUGCCAGCAGCCGCGGUAAUACGUAGGGUGCAAGCGUUGUCCGGAAUUAUUGGGCGUAAAGAGCUCGUAGGCGGUUUGUCGCGUCUGCUGUGAAAUCUGGGGGCUCAACCCCCAGCCUGCAGUGGGUACGGGCAGACUAGAGUGCGGUAGGGGAGAUUGGAAUUCCUGGUGUAGCGGUGGAAUGCGCAGAUAUCAGGAGGAACACCGAUGGCGAAGGCAGAUCUCUGGGCCGUAACUGACGCUGAGGAGCGAAAGCAUGGGGAGCGAACAGGAUUAGAUACCCUGGUAGUCCAUGCCGUAAACGUUGGGAACUAGAUGUGGGGGCCAUUCCACGGUCUCCGUGUCGCAGCUAACGCAUUAAGUUCCCCGCCUGGGGAGUACGGCCGCAAGGCUAAAACUCAAAGGAAUUGACGGGGGCCCGCACAAGCGGCGGAGCAUGCGGAUUAAUUCGAUGCAACGCGAAGAACCUUACCAAGGCUUGACAUAUACCGGAAACGUCCAGAGAUGGUCGCCCCGCAAGGUCGGUAUACAGGUGGUGCAUGGUUGUCGUCAGCUCGUGUCGUGAGAUGUUGGGUUAAGUCCCGCAACGAGCGCAACCCUCGUUCUAUUUUGCCAGCACGUAAUUGUU
rnacentral:rRNA from 1 species